GUCGUCCACAACCCAUCGAUUGUGCGGUGUUCCUGAUCUUCCCUUUAGAUCUAGCAACCACUAAUCCCCAAUUCAAAAUCCCGGAACCCUAAUAUAAACCUAAAAUUUGAAUGGAGCUCGCUAAAGAAGAUAAGAUGCUCGCAAGAGGUGGAGGAGCUCGUCGGAGAAGAAGUUGCUCGCCUGAGGUUAUUUUUUCUCCUCUUUUGUUAUUUUGUUGUGUGUAUUCACGAACUAACAAGAGGGCUCUCUAUGUAUUUUUUAGAAUUAUUUUUUAUAAUCGAAAUGGGUCGAAUCUCUACUAUAAAAAAAGGCUAAGGGUGACUUUUUUUUUUGGUUCGUCAUCCACCUCUUCAUUCGUUCGUCCGCCGCUUCGUUCGUCGCCCCUUCGUAUCGUCGGAACCGCACCCGCACGUCCUCCCCUUCUCUCCGUCCAAAAAGCAACCGCUUGCACCCCCAUCCUGUCCCCCACUCACGCACUCUCCGCGAGCAGUUUCAGGUCGCGAGAGAGCUCGCCGCUCCGUCCUUGCCCGCCGUUCCCGCCGCCGCGCGGUCCGCGGCGUCGUCCGCGUCGCCGCCGCUCUGUCCCCGGCCGUCCCUGCCCCUCCCCUCUCCAUCUGCAUCGGCCACGACGCCGUCCCCCUCGCGCCGCUGCAGCUCACGAAGCCAUCGCCUUCGCCCAGCCGCUCAGCGCUCACCCCCGCCUCCGCUCGCCGAUCGCGCCCUCACCCAGCGCCGCCACUCGCCGCCAUCCCGGCCCCGUCCGACUUUGGCCCGUGGAUAGGAACUAAGGGCUUCUCGAAUCGCGUCCACGCCGCCGCUCCGUCCCAACUGGAGAUCCAUCUGCGCCGCCGCGACGACGCCAUCCGCCGUCCGCGCCGCCUCCAGCGUCGACGAUCCGCUGCAGCGAAGGAAGGCGCGGUCCUGCCGCCGCCGUUGGAGGUCGGGGCUGCCGAUCCCCGCCCGCUCUCCGGCCCUGCCGCUGCACCGGGGAUGCUCAAGGUCGGGACCCCUCGGUCACGCCGUCCCCGACCGCCCGACGGUUCCCCGGCGGCGCGGUCGCGCCAUCCCCCAUGCUCCAGCCAUUCCACCAUGCCGUUGCCUGAUCUGCGGUUCAAGGACGUGCGAUGGACAGCCAUGCCGUCCAUGGGAGCAGUUGGUACGAGCAGAUGCGGAGCAGGUUAGGGUAGUCCAAUUGGAAUUUGCUUGUUACCUCAAAUUGUGAUUCCAUUUAAGGUGUCCGAUUUUCUCCACUUGUUCAUUUGUUGGAGGUAGUGGGAAGUGGUAAACAGGCUGCACCUGCACAUCAUCCGUAUCAAUGUGGGGUGCUUUUUUUGGAUGCUUCAGGCCUUCAAGUUCUGUGCUCACAAAUUAUUUGAUGAUUUUGCUCACUGGUUUCAGCUAAGAGGAUGGAGGUCGAACGGUUUCAACAACGCUUUCAGCUAAAAACCCCAAUGUCGGGUUUUUCUCUCCACUAUCUAUUAUGUCAUUUCUUAUUUAACUUCCUGCAAAUAGUGCCAUGAUAAUAUAAGUGCUUAAAGUUUUUGUCUUGUUAUAUAUAUGAUUUAUGAACCAGCAAAUACUCAGCAAUGGAGGCAUAGUGAAAUUCAAACAGAGGAGAAAACAGCUAAUAAAUGGUUGCUAAAAUCCAAGGGAAUCCAGAUCUGUUGGUAUUCUUGAUGCUUCUUCUGAUUCCAAAAUUAUAUGGAUUCAGUGUGUUUUAAGUUCUAUAUGAUGCUGCACAUAAUUACCAUUUGUAUUUAGUGCUUAGUUCUUGUUAUGUGUCUAAUAUAAGUACAAGAUAAUUGGUUGAAUAUCAUAAUAUAUUAAAGAUAAGAGGUACAACAAGCCUGUCAAGGUGUCACAAAAAGGUACAAGGCUAACAAGCUACUUCUGAAAUGGUAGAAGAUCAUGCUGACCCUCUCCUAUUUUUUUGGGUUGUAUUAAUCAUGAAGCAUUGUAUAGGAAUACUAUGUUCGUUUGCUAAUAACCUCUUUUUUGCAGAUUGUCAGUGUGUUCUGGCUAGCUAGGUACUUCUACAAAAUUUAAGUUGUUUGUUCAUUUGAGUUUCUUCGAGUGUUCAAAAUACAGGUAACAAGUUUUGGGAUUUCUAAAGCAUGCACUAUAAAUUCUGAAAUUUCUGAAUAUAAAUGUGUGAUGAACUGAAGAUUUCAUUCAUAUAUGGCUGCUGCAUUAUGAACUGAAGAUUUCAUAUAUGAACUGAAGAUUUCAUUAAUAUAACUGAAUAUAAAUGCAUUAUGAAUGGAGUGCUCUAAUUCAAUCAUAUAUAUCACAUAAUUCUAUCCUGUCAGUUUACAUGUCUCUUGAACAUGCUAAAAAUAGUAAAACCAUCUUUAGAAGUUUCCUUGACCCAUAUUCACUGCCCUCACUGUCAUGGUUUCCAUAUUCCUUCCCCUUUGAGAACAGUCUACCUAUAUCAAGAUAAUCCCACAGAUUGUUAGACCAGAUUUUGGUUGAUAAACCACCAAAGUUGUUUUCCACCAUAACAAAGAUGUUUGCCUUUUACGAUGCUAUUAUACUGGCUUGGCUUUUACAUGUCUCCUUUUAGUUUAAUUGAUUUUUAACAUUUUUUAAGAUUGUUGAGAAUUACUCCUUUUUGAUUUUUGAAGACCAUAAGUUUGCUCACAUCGGAAAUACAAUAACCAAACAAUAUGAAGGGUAAGAAAACAAUAUUAGUUUUUAUACUUUGAUUUAGAGGAAUAUCCCACAAAUUGGACUGGGUUGAUAUUGUUAAUGGCAUAUUGUACCUGGACUAGGAACUGUAGAUGGCUUGAAGCUGAAGGUAUGUUAUGCUUCAUAUAUAAGGCUUGCGUGAUAACUAUUAAUAUUGACUUAAAAAAGAAUAAUUUGAUGUUGCAGAUGAUAGUAGCUGAAUAAUUGUAGUGCUCACGGUAACUGUUGUGCUCUUUCAUUGAAGGGUUUGCCUAAAGGAAAAGGAAGAGGGCUACUUCUGCUCGCUGAAAUGAGCUCUCUGCUGGCAACCUUGCUCAGGGAGAUUACACUGCUGCAGCUGUAAAGAUUGCAGAGCAGCAUCCUGACUUUCUGAUCGAGUUUAUUUCAGUAAAUCCUGCAUCUUGGUUGUCUAGACACCAAGGAACGACUGUUAUGAACAGUACCUUCCAUGAGAAGCAUGGCCCCAUUAAUUUAAAAUUGUGUACUUGAAUAUAUUUUAGUGUUCUUUGUUUAUGUUUUUUUGACAUAGUCAUGUAAGAUUGAUGGUUUUUUGAGCAUGUGCACCUCAAUGUGGCUCAACAGCUCAUACAUUAUGUUGCUAAGAUUAGAUAUAUUAUGUAGUUUUUGAUGAUCUCAAUGUAUGAUUUUUUUUCUUCCCAUAGCAAUGCAUGGGCACAUAGCUAGUCAAACUACGAAGCCCGUGACAGCUAUUAAGAGGCAAGGUGGGACCGGUGGACCUCUCGCUCGCCCAAUGACAUGUAGGACCACGUGAGGAACAGUCCCGCUGACCCCCGGCCCCACGUCGCCCGCGGCCUCCCAUCACAUGGAAGAACUACCGCAGCAGCGGCCUCUCCUGUCUCCUCCCCGUCCCUAUCUCUUCGGUCUCCGUCUCCGUCCACCCGCAUCUCCACCACCACCACCACCGUCGCCUCGCCACCGCCCGCCGCCGCCGCCGAUGGCCCGUCUCCUCGCGCAGACCCUGACCCUCGCCCGCCCCGCCCCCUCCCCCUCCGCCACCGCCGCAUCCGCCUCCCUCCGCGGCCUCGCCACCAAGGUCGAGGUCAUCGAGAUCGACCUCACCGAGGACGAUGCCGCGGCCCCCGGGUCCACCGCCGCCUCGCCGUCGGUCGAGGUGGUGGGGAUCCGGCGCCUGGAGGAGGCCAUCCACGGCGUCAUGGUGCGGCGCGCCACCCCGGACUGGCUCCCCUUCGUGCCGGGCGGGUCCUUCUGGGUGCCCCCGCUGCGGCGCCCGCAGGGGGUUGCCGAGCUCGUGGGCCGGAUCGCGGCCGCGGGGGGCGCGGAGGGGCUCGUCGGGGCUGCGGGCGGCGCGGUCGAGGUCGUCGAGCUCGACGCGCCCAUGACGGAGGAGGAGGCGCUCUCCUUCUCCACCGCGCGGGGGUGGCCCUCGGCCUCCUACUUCGUCGAAGGGAAAUCUUCACAUUCAAAGAAGGAAUCGAGGAAAGGUGCAAGUCAACCUGAUGAUGAAGAAAGCUGAUUGGUUUGUGCUACAUUGCCAGGGUACCCUUCUCCAUGUCACAGCCUUACUGAUCAUAGCUGCUGUGCACUAACUGCUGCCAUGUCUGAUGUUUAUCGUUGCUGCCUGCACCCCAGAACAUCAUCAGGCAACAUGGCUGGAGCAAGAAUGGCUGCUCCUACAUACUUGGAUAUAUUGGGACAAACAUUUUGUCUUACUAGGAACAUCGAAACCAUGCAAACAGUGAGGUUCUGAUCAUCAAACCCAUGGAUUGCAGUGGUGUAGUUAUACUUUGCCGGUGACCUGUUGUUGCAUGGUCCUACAAGAAAAGGCAGUGCAGAGUUUCAUGACUCUGCCAUGACCAAUGUACAUAUGGAUGGCAAGGACCCCAUUGCUGAUAAACUACGGCAACUGCUACCAUUGAUGUUGUCCCAUCCGUCCUGGACGAUAAACCAUUGAAACCACUAACGAAUCGGUUGCCAUGCUGUAAAUCUGGUCCGAAGCUCUAGUGUUUAUUGUAUCAACAAGCCCAUGCACCAAGGUUCCGUUUGUUAUAAUAAGCAUGGGAGAGGGCAGCUAAAUGUGUGCUUUGGUACUGGACUUGGUAGUAGUCCAGUAGGUGGACUCUAGCAUAGGCUCUAGAUCCGCUUUAGUCAUCUACGACGAACAAUGUUUGUAAAAUUGGUGUAAGCAUCCUGCCCUCCUCUGACCCUGAACUGUUUACUAGUAAAACAUUUUGAAGUGCUACGAACUCUGUUGUUGUGUGGACGGGUAUAGUAUACGAUUAUCCCUGUUGCUUUUGUGCUC